rnacentral:rRNA from 1 species
CCUACGGGGCGCUGCAGUGGGGAAUAUUGCGCAAUGGGCGAAAGCCUGACGCAGCGACGCCGCGUGAGGGAUGAAGGUCUUCUGAUCGUAAACCUCUGUCAGCAGGGAAGAACGGUCACUGUGCUAAUCAGCAGUGAAUUGACGGUACCUGCAAAGGAAGCACCGGCUAACUCCGUGCCAGCAGCCGCGGUAAUACGGAGGGUGCGAGCGUUAAUCGGAAUUACUGGGCGUAAAGCGCGCGUAGGCGGUAUGUCAAGUCAAGGGUGAAAUCCCCGCGCUGAACGUGGGAACUGCCUUUGAAACUGGCAAACUGGAGUGUGUGAGAGGAUAGUGGAAUUCCAGGUGUAGGAGUGAAAGCCGUAGAUAUCUGGAGGAACAUCAGUGGCGAAGGCGACUAUCUGGCACAUAACUGACGCUGAGGAGCGAAAGCGUGGGUAGCAAACAGGAUUAGAUACCCGAGUAGUC